rnacentral:rRNA from 1 species
AAUAUUAUACAAUGGGGGCGACCGUGAUCGAGCCAUGCCGCGUUUGUUAAGAAUGUCUUCGGAGUGUAAAGCACUUUAAUGUGAUAGUAAGGGCGUUAGGUUAAUACCCUGAAUCUGUUACUUUACCAACAGAAUAAGCACCGACUAAUUCUGUGCCAGCAGUAGCGGUAAUACAGAGGCUGCAAGCGUUAAUCGGAAUUAUUGGCCGUAAAGGGGGCGUAGGUGAUUAAGUAAGAUGGAUGUGAAAUCCCCGGGCUUAACCUGGGAACUGCUUUCAUAAAUGCUGAGCUAGAGUACGGUAGAGGGUAGUGGAAUUUCCUGUGUAGCGGUGAAAUGCGUAGAUAUAGGAAGGAACACCAGUGGCGAAGGCGACUACCUGGACUGAUACUGACACUGAGGUGCAAAAGCGUGGGGAGCAAAC